rnacentral:rRNA from 1 species
CAGUAGCCGCGGUAAUGCGUAGGUGGCAAGCGUUGUCCGGAAUUAUUGGGCGUAAAGGGCUCGCAGGCGGUUUCUUAAGUCUGAUGUGAAAGCCCCCGGCUCAACCGGGGAGGGUCAUUGGAAACUGGGAAACUUGAGUGCAGAAGAGGAGAGUGGAAUUCCACGUGUAGCGGUGAAAUGCGUAGAGAUGUGGAGGAACACCAGUGGCGAAGGCGACUCUCCGGUCUGUAACUGACGCUGAGGAGCGGAAGCGUGGGGAGCGAACAGGAUUAGAUACCCGCGUAGUCCCUGUCUCUUAUAC